rnacentral:rRNA from 2 species
CAACUUUCAACAACGGAUCUCUUGGUUCUGGCAUCGAUGAAGAACGCAGCGAAAUGCGAUAAGUAGUGUGAAUUGCAGAAUUCAGUGAAUCAUCGAAUCUUUGAACGCACAUUGCGCCCCUUGGCAUUCCAUGGGGCAUGCCUGUUCGAGCGUCAUUU